GAUGAACGCUGGCGGCGUGCCUAAUACAUGCAAGUCGAGCGAACAGACGAGGAGCUUGCUCCUCUGACGUUAGCGGCGGACGGGUGAGUAACACGUGGAUAACCUACCUAUAAGACUGGGAUAACUUCGGGAAACCGGAGCUAAUACCGGAUAAUAUAUUGAACCGCAUGGUUCAAUAGUGAAAGACGGUUUUGCUGUCACUUCUAGAUGGAUCCGCGCCGCAUUAGCUAGUUGGUAAGGUAACGGCUUACCAAGGCAACGAUGCGUAGCCGACCGGAGAGGGGGAUCGCCCACACUGGAGCUGACACACGGUCCAGACUCCUACGGGAGGCAGCAGUAGGGAAUCUUCCGCGAUGGGCGAAAGCCUGACGGAGCGGCGCCGCGUGGGUGAUGAAGGUCUGCGGAUCGUAAAACUCUGUUAUUGGUGAAGACCAAAUGUGUAAGUAACUAUGCACGUCUUGACGGUACCUGAACAGAAAGCCACGGCUAACUACGUG
rnacentral:rRNA from 1 species